rnacentral:rRNA from 1 species
GGGCUGGAACCUCUCGGGGUUACAGCCUUGCUGAAUUAUUCACCCUUGUCUUUUGCGUACUUCUUGUUUCCUUGGUGGGUUCGCCCACCACUAGGACAAACAUAAACCUUUUGUAAUUGCAAUCAGCGUCAGUAACAAAUUAAUAAUUACAACUUUCAACAACGGAUCUCUUGGUUCUGGCAUCGAUGAAGAACGCAGCGAAAUGCGAUAAGUAGUGUGAAUUGCAGAAUUCAGUGAAUCAUCGAAUCUUUGAACGCACAUUGCGCCCUUUGGUAUUCCAAAGGGCAUGCCUGUUCGAGCGUCAUUUGUACCCUCAAGCUUUGCUUGGUGUUGGGCGUCUUGUCUCUAGCUUUGCUGGAGACUCGCCUUAAAGUAAUUGGCAGCCGGCCUACUGGUUUCGGAGCGCAGCACAAGUCGCACUCUCUAUCAGCAAAGGUCUAGCAUCCAUUAAGCCUUUUUUUCAACUUUUGACCUCGGAUCAGGUA